UACGUAGGGUGCAAGCGUUAAUCGGAAUUACUGGGCGUAAAGCGUGCGCAGGCGGUCGUGCAAGACAGAUGUGAAAUCCCCGGGCUUAACCUGGGAACUGCAUUUGUGACUGCACGGCUGGAGUGCGGCAGAGGGGGAUGGAAUUCCGCGUGUAGCAGUGAAAUGCGUAGAUAUGCGGAGGAACACCGAUGGCGAAGGCAAUCCCCUGGGCCUGCACUGACGCUCAUGCACGAAAGCGUGGGGAGCAAACCGG
rnacentral:rRNA from 1 species